rnacentral:rRNA from 1 species
AUCAUGGUUAAGGAACUCGGCAAAAUGCCCCCGUAACUUCGGGAGAAGGGGGGCCCUGAGCGUGAUCUGCCCGUGCGGUGGGGAGCGUGUAGGGGUCGCAGAGACCAGGGGGAAGCGACUGUUUAUCAAAAACACAGGUCCGUGCGAAGUCGUAAGACGAUGUAUACGGACUGACUCCUGCCCGGUGCUGGAAGGUUAAGAGGAUUGGUUAGCCCUUUUUGGGCGAAGCUGAGAAUUUAAGCCCCAGUAAACGGCGGUGGUAACUAUAACCAUCCUAAGGUAGCGAAAUUCCUUGUCGGGUAAGUUCCGACCUGCACGAAUGGCGUAACGACUUCUCCGCUGUCUCGACCACGAACUCGGUGAAAUUGCAGUACGAGUAAAGAUGCUCGUUUCGCGCAGCAGGACGGAAAGACCCCGUGACCUUUACUAUAGUUUGGUAUUGGUGUUUGGUUUGGCUUGUGUAGGAUAGGUGGGAGACUGUGAAGCAUGGACGCUAGUUUGUGUGGAGUCGUUGUUGAAAUACCACUCUGGUCAAUCUGGAUGUCUAACUUCGGGCCAUGAUCUGGUUCAGGGACAGUGCCUGAUGGGUAGUUUAACUGGGGCGGUUGCCUCCUAAAGUGUAACGGAGGCGCCCAAAGGUUCCCUCAGCCUGGUUGGCAAUCAGGUGUUGAGUGUAAGUGCACAAGGGAGCUUGACUGUGAGACUGGCAGGUCGAGCAGGGACGAAAGUCGGGACUAGUGAUCCGGCGGUACGUUGUGGAACGGCCGUCGCUCAACGGAUAAAAGGUACCUCGGGGAUAACAGGCUGAUCUUGCCCAAGAGUCCAUAUCGACGGCAUGGUUUGGCACCUCGAUGUCGGCUCGUCGCAUCCUGGGGCUGGAGUCGGUCCCAAGGGUUGGGCUGUUCGCCCAUUAAAGCGGUACGCGAGCUGGGUUCAGAACGUCGUGAGACAGUUCGGUCCCUAUCCGCUGCGCGCGUUGGAAAUUUGAGAAAGGCUGUCCUUAGUACGAGAGGACCGGGACGGACGAACCUCUGGUAUGUCAGUUGUACCGCCAGGUGCAUGGCUGAUUGGCUACGUUCGGGAGGGAUAACCGCUGAAAGCAUCUAAGCGGGAAGCCUGUUUCGAGAUGAGAUUUCCUGGCACUUUGGUGUGUGAGGCUCCUUAUAGAUGAUGAGGUUGAUAGGCCGGGUAUGGAAGCGGGGACUGAAGACUCGUGGAGUUGACUGGUACUAAUAGGCCGAAGGCUUACUUUU